UCGGAAGAGGAAGAGACACUAUGAGUACACAUGCAAAGGAAAAAGGCCAAGUGAGGGUGAGGCGAUGACCAUCUGCAAGCCAAGGAGAGAGCCUUCAUGAGAAACCAACCUCUUCUGCACUUUGAUCUUGGACUUCCAGCCUCCAGAAGAGUGAGAAAAUACAUUGCUGCUGUUGAAGUCACUCAAUCGGUUAUAUUAUGUUGUGGUACCCCAAGCAGACUAUUACAGCUAGGUGGACUUCUUGCCGGUCUGAUGUUUAUUACAUCUUGCCUAAUGGAACUGCAGACUUACUAGUUGCUGCAUUAAAAAAAAAAAAUCCUCCAUAAUGAAAGAGGAGAUAAAGCCGAAGAAAAGAGGAGGGGCAAAAAGAAUCACUUUCAGAAGAUUUUACACAUGUACAUUCAGCAUGCUGAGCAGAUGAGGUUAUUGGAGGAAUGAUGACGGUGAAUGCCUCCAGCUGUGUAUGCAAGGGGUGACGAGGCUCCAGAACUUGGAGAAAUCUCUUUAUUGGGAAACUGGAGACUGGGCAAAUCUGGCCCCAGGAGAGUUUCAGUUACCUGUGAAAGGCCAGCUAUGUCUUCAAGGAGAUCCUUUCCAGGGGGAAAAAACAGACCUGGUGACACCAUGAGCACAGGUAGUUUUUGAGGACUUCUUGGCCAAGUCUUUGUUUCGCACAAUUGGACACAGGUAUGGCUGGUCUUACAAGAAGUGGAGAGAGACACACAGGGAGAAGAUGGUCAUGUGACAAUGGAGGCAGAGGCGGGAUUGAUCCAUCUACAAGCGAGAAAACACCAAGGAUUGUUGGCAAACACCAGAAGCUGGAAGAGGCAAGGAAGGAUUCCUUUCUCCUGGUCUCAAAAUGAGCAUGGCCCUGCUAACAUCUCACCUUGAUUGUACACUUCUGGCUUUCAGAAAUGUGACACAAUUUGGCCAAAUAGAAGAAAAGUAGAGUCAGAUUCCAGCUGUCCGUUAAUUUCAUCCUAAGGUCCUUCCUGGCUACUCUGCACACUGAUUUACAAAGAUAGCCAGCUGCCAGAAUCCAGUAUCUGGUUAGGAUCCUUGACAUCGGUGCUCCAUGGAGAACGGAAUGCCCGGCCGGAGAGCAUGUCGGCUCUGUACAGAAUCUGCUGCUGCAGAGACAGCAGGGAUGUCAAUAUACUGCUGCCCCUGGGGCUGGACAGACUGAUGGGCCCAUCUGUAGGGCAGGAGCAGCCAGAACAGAAAACUGAACAAGAAGCUAAUGAAGAGUUGGAGGAGAACCAGGAAACAGAGGACUUGGAAUUAACAGGAAUUUCUAAAGAGAACAGCAAGUCCAACUACUCCGUAGGGAGAGUUUACUGGAGACUUUGUGAAGAACAGUCCAACUUCCCAAGGAAAGAGUAUGUCCAUACCUCAAAGAAAUCACAAAGAAAUCAAAGAAAUCUGUCCACACUGGGACCUCCAUCUGCCCCCGUCUCACAGGGGUCCAACAAUACGUGGGAAGUCUGGAGAGUUUCGUGUGCCCCCUCCUGGCAUAUGGGAGGGAGAGAAAGAUCCAACCAGAGAGGUGUGUGAGCCCCGUAUGUAGGCUUGCUGAAACUUUGAGCUCUUGUCUUCCUCCCUCCCUAGGAGGUGCCCCAGAUAUCUCCCAUUCUCUAUCCCCAUAAAACAAAGGCACAGAAAUGACUCAAUUCUGAAGUACUAUUGUCUAGAUCAGUAUAGCGUGACUUCAAGUUUUCAGAAAAUUCAACAGUUUGCUCAG